GGUUCGAUUCUGGCUCAGAUUGAACGCUGGCGGGAUGCUUUACACAUGCAAGUCGAACGGCAGCACGGACUUCGGUCUGGUGGCGAGUGGCGAACGGGUGAGUAAUGUAUCGGAACGUGCCUAGUAGUUGGUGGUUAGAAUUCACGCGAAAGGUAGCCAAUACCGUGACAUUGGCCCUCUUCGGGGAAAGCGGGGGACCUCGGGCCCCUGCACUAUUAGAGCGCUGACAUCGAUUAGCUAGUUGCGGGGUAACGGCUCACCAAGGCGACGAUCCGUAGCUGGUUUGAGAGGACGACCAGCCACACUGGGACUGAGACACGGCCCAGACUCCUACGGGAGGCAGCAGUGGGGAAUUUUGACAAUGGGGAAACUCCUGAUCCAGCCAUCCCGCGUGUGCGAUGAAGGCCUUCGGGUUGUAAAGCACUUUUGGCAGGGAAAGAAACGGCACGGGAUAAUAAUUCUCGCGCAACUGACGGUACCUGCAGAAUAAGCACCGACAACUGCCGUGCCAGCAGCCGCGGUAAUACGUAGGGUGCAAGUGUUAAUCGGAAUUACUGGGCGGAAGCGUGCGCAGGCGGUUCGGAAAGAAAGAUGUGAAAUCCCAGAGCUUAACUUUGGAACCACAUUUUAAUCACUGAGCUUAGAGGUGUCAGGGAGGGAGGUGGAAUUCCGCGUAGCAGUGAAAUGCGUAGAUAUGCGGAGGAACACCGAUGGCGAAGGCAGCCUCCUGGGAUAACACUGAUGCCUGAUGCACGAAAGCGGGAGCAACAGGAUUACACCGGUAGUCCACGCCCUAAAACGAUGUCAACUAGCUGUUGGGGCCUUUCGGCCUGGUAGCGCAGCUAACGCGUGAAGUUGGACCGCUCAGAGCAUGGUCGCAAGAUUAAACUCAAAGGAAUUGACGGGGACCCGCACAAGCGGUGGAUGAUGUGGAUUAAUUCGAUGCAACGCGAAAAACCUUACCUACCUGACAUGUCUGGAAUCCCGAAGAGAUUUGGGAGUGCUCGCAAGAGAGAACCGGAACACAGGUGCCGCAUAUGCCGUCAGCUCGUGUCGUGAGAUGUUGGGUUAAGUCCUGCAACGAUGCACCCUCAGUUAUUAGUUACGCGAAAGGGCACUCUAAUGAGACUGCCGGUGACAAACCGAGGAAGGUGGGGAUGACGUCAAGUCCUCAUGACCCCGCGGUAGGGUCACACGUCAUACAAUGGUCGGGACAGAGGGUCGCCAAAUCCCGCGAGGGGGAGCCAAUCCUGAAACCCGAUCGUAGUCCGGAUCGCAGUCUGCAACUCGACUGCGUGAAGUCGGAAUCGCUAGUAAUCGCGGAUCAGCAUGUCGCGGUGAAUACGUUCCCUGGUCUUGUACACACCGCCCGUCACACCAUGGGAGUGGGUUUCACCAGAAGUAGUUAGCCUAACCGUAAGGAGGGCGAUUACCACGGUAGGAUUCAUGACUGGGGUGAAGUCGUAAUACA
rnacentral:rRNA from 1 species